rnacentral:tRNA from 1 species
UAAAAUGAAAUCAUUAGAUAUUUCAUUUACAAUGAAAGUAAGUUUAGUUAUUAAACCGUUUUAA